CGGAAACACAUCCACGCCGAUAGCCCGGCCCAAAAAUGUGCGUGAAUUUCAUCAAUUUACCGGUUAAUUUGUUGUAAUAAAGGAAAGUAUUCAUCAUGUAUAUUUGGGUGGAGCAUUAUCGUUGUACCUACACCAAGUGAGGGAGCAAGGAUGCCAAAAAAGGGCGUCAGUGGAAACAGAAACAUAUUGGAAACUAUCUACCGCUGAUCAGCAUACCGGAAAUAAUGGACUACCUGCGUCAGAUGGGCUGGCUGAUACCAAGGUUACCUAAGUAGAAAAAGAUUGAGACAUUUUAAAUUUCUCAUAGUAACCGUGCAGAUGAUGUGAGUGCCAUAUGAUGGUGCAUCAAUUUGACAGUGUGUUCCAAUAACCCAUGUUUUGCCCACAAUGCCUGAGAUGGUCUCUGUCCACAUCUGGUGGUGCCCGCCCGGCAGCUACCUAGAGACAUAGUGGCCAGGUAGCAAGCCCAAGGACAAGAUCAACAGUUAUUAUACGUCAGACGACCAUCUGCUCAGCAGAGGCCUCAUCUAUGCGGUCAUCUUUGAGGCGAGAAACUACUGAAAUGUUCAAAUACAAGAAGAAGAGGGCACCUUUCCACAAGCGCUUGCCAGACAGACCUUCAUCCUAAGUCACCACCAGACUUUUAACCUGGUUGUCAACUCCACCACAUGCCAUAGCAUCCAAGUAGCCUGGUACUUGCCUAGAGAAGAUGGACUCCAUGUCGAUUGACUCCAGUCUCUCAGACGCAUCGCAAUCUGCCGUUCUCGCAAUACCUGAUGUCAGAUGUGACAGAGUCAAAAGUGGAUGAGUUGUGCGAAUGCACAGAGAAUAGUCGGAAAUUCUGAUAGCCCAAAGGUGCUCAAACAAACUUAAAUUCCAAUACUGUUGAUCUAUGGCACCACGCUUUUGACGUUAGCCGUGGGGAAGUUGUGUGAAGUUUUAGCAUUGAACUGAUUAUAGAUUCAGUCGUGUGAUAUACAUUUCAAGGUCCCAUAGGGCAAAUUGCGUGUAUGCACUGAUAAGCUUGUUGAAUGUUGUAUUUUGUAUUUAUUUUACA